rnacentral:rRNA from 1 species
GACGAACGCUGGCGGCGUGCUUAACACAUGCAAGUCGAACGGAAAGGCCCUGCUUUUGUGGGGUGCUCGAGUGGCGAACGGGUGAGUAACACGUGAGUAACCUGCCCUUGACUUUGGGAUAACUUCAGGAAACUGGGGCUAAUACCGGAUAGGAGCUCCUGCUGCAUGGUGGGGGUUGGAAAGUUUCGGCGGUUGGGGAUGGACUCGCGGCUUAUCAGCUUGUUGGUGGUGUAGUGGCUUACCAAGGCUUUGACGGGUAGCCGGCCUGAGAGGGUGACCGGCCACAAUGGGACUGAGAUACGGCCCAGACUCCUACGGGAGGCAGCAGUGGGGAAUAUUGCACAAUGGGCGGAAGCCUGAUGCAGCAACGCCGCGUGCGGGAUGACGGCCUUCGGGUUGUAAACCGCUUUCGCCUGUGACGAAGCGUGAGUGACGGUAAUGGGUAAAGAAGCACCGGCUAACUACGUG